rnacentral:rRNA from 1 species
AUGUCGGGGAUGAAGGACGCCAAUGCUGUUGGGCAUGAUAAUGUUGGAAAUUCUGAACCUAUGGACCAAAGUGGAGAUAAUGCCAUGCCAUCAGCUCAGCAACAGGAACAAGUAAUCAAGAAGAAGUUUGGAGGACUAAUUCCUAAAAAGCCACCGCUCAUCUCAAAGGAUCAUGAGCGGGCCUAUUUUGAUUCUGCUGAUUGGGCUCUCGGAAAGUCUGGACAGCAAGGUGUUGCAAAACCCAAAGGACCACUGGAGGCACUUAGGCCAAAGUUGCAGCCCACACGACAACAGCAACAGCGUUCAAGGAGCUCUAUCUACAGUUCAUCAGAAAACGAGGAUGGAGAUGGCGCUGGGUCGGAGGACAUGAAUAUCAACUGA